rnacentral:rRNA from 1 species
UACGAAGGGGGCGAGCGUUGUUCGGAUUUACUGGGCGUAAAGGGCGCGCAGGCGGUCUUGAAAGUCAGGCGUGAAAGCCCCGGGCUUAACCUGGGAAUUGCGCUUGAUACUCUGAGACUGGAGUACGGGAGAGGAGAGUGGAAUUCCACGUGUAGCGGUGAAAUGCGUAGAUAUGUGGAGGAACACCAGUGGCGAAGGCGACUCUCUGGUCUGUAACUGACGCUGAGGCGCGAAAGCGUGGGGAGCAAACAGG